rnacentral:rRNA from 1 species
GCUCAAAUUUGAAAUCUGGCGUCUUCGACGUCCGAGUUGUAAUUUGAAGAAGGCGACUUUGUAGCUGGUCCUUGUCUAUGUUCCUUGGAACAGGACGUCAUAGAGGGUGAGAAUCCCGUGUGGCGAGGAUCCCAGUUAUUUGUAAAGUGCUUUCGACGAGUCGAGUUGUUUGGGAAUGCAGCUCUAAGUGGGUGGUAAAUUCCAUCUAAAGCUAAAUAUUGGCGAGAGACCGAUAGCGAACAAGUACAGUGAUGGAAAGAUGAAAAGAACUUUGAAAAGAGAGUGAAAAAGUACGUGAAAUUGUUGAAAGGGAAGGGCAUUUGAUCAGACAUGGCGUUUGCUUCGGCUUUCGCUGGGCCAGCAUCAGUUUUAGCGGUUGGAUAAAUCCUCGGGAAUGUGGCUCUGCUUCGGUAGAGUGUUAUAGCCCGUGGGAAUACAGCCAGCUGGGACUGAGGAUUGCGACUUUUGUCAAGGAUGCUGGCGUAAUGGUUAAAUGCCGCCCGUCUUG